AUUGAACGCUGGCGGCAGGCCUAACACAUGCAAGUCGAGCGGUUGACGGGAGCUUGCUCCCUGAUUCAGCGGCGGACGGGUGAGUAAUGCCUAGGAAUCUGCCUAUUAGUGGGGGACAACGUUUCGAAAGGAACGCUAAUACCGCAUACGUCCUACGGGAGAAAGCAGGGGACCUUCGGGCUCUGCGCUAAUAGAUGAGCCUAGGUCGGAUUAGCUUGUUGGUGAGGUAAUGGCUCACCAAGGCGACGAUCCGUAACUGGUCUGAGAGGAUGAUCAGUCACACUGGAACUGAGACACGGUCCAGACUCCUACGGGAGGCAGCAGUGGGGAAUAUUGGACAAUGGGCGAAAGCCUGAUCCAGCCAUGCCGCGUGUGUGAAGAAGGUCUUCGGAUUGUAAAGCACUUUAAGUUGGGAGGAAGGGUUGUAGAUUAAUACUCUGCAAUUUUGACGUUACCGACAGAAUAAGCUCCGGCUAACUCUGUGCCAGCCGCCGCAGUAAGAC
rnacentral:rRNA from 1 species